GGGGUCUUAGCUCAGCUGGGAGAGCGCCUGCUUUGCACGCAGGAGGUCAGGGGUUCGAUCCCCCUAGACUCCACCA
rnacentral:tRNA from 20 species